rfam:Coniochaeta ligniaria NRRL 30616 unplaced genomic scaffold CONLIGscaffold_2, whole genome shotgun sequence.
ACGUACGACCAUAGACAUCUGAAAACUCGGGAUCCCGUCCGCUCUCCCAUAGAUAAGCAGAUGAUCGCCAGACUAGUACUCGGGUGGGUGACCACCGGGGAAUCCCUGGUGUUGUACGUG